rnacentral:ncRNA from 1 species
UGUGUCAGCUAUCAGGCAAUCUGCAGAACCAUACUGCUAAAGUGACACAACUCCUAAAGAAGCACUGGGCGCUAUCCAUUGCGGCGAAAGCCUGCAAGGAUUAUAGGGUAAACAAAUUUGGCAAUUAGCUGGCAGGAAUAGCGCUCCUGACAGCUUAUU